UACGGGGGGGCAAGCGUUGUUCGGAAUUACUGGGCGUAAAGGGCUCGUAGGUGGCCAACUAAGUCAGACGUGAAAUCCCCAGGCUCAACUUGGGAACUGCGUCUGAUACUGGAUGGCUUGAAUUCGGGAGAGGGAUGCAGAAUUCCAAGGUGUAGCGGUGAAAUGCGUAGAUAUCUGGAGGAAUACCGGUGGCGAAGGCGGCAUCCUGGACCGAGAUUGACACUGAUGAGCGGAAAGCUAAGGGGAGCAAACGGG
rnacentral:rRNA from 1 species